rnacentral:rRNA from 1 species
AGUAAAAGUCGUAACAAGGUCUCCGUUGGUGAACCAGCGGAGGGAUCAUUACAGAGUUAUCCAACUCCCAAACCCAUGUGAACUUAUCUCUUUGUUGCCUCGGCGCAAGCUACCCGGGACCUCGCGCCCCGGGGGGCCCGCCGGCGGACAAACCAAACUCUGUUAUCUUCGUUGAUUAUCUGAGUGUCUUAUUUAAUAAGUCAAAACUUUCAACAACGGAUCUCUUGGUUCUGGCAUCGAUGAAGAACGCAGCGAAAUGCGAUAAGUAAUGUGAAUUGCAGAAUUCAGUGAAUCAUCGAAUCUUUGAACGCACAUUGCGCCCAUUAGUAUUCUAGUGGGCAUGCCUGUUCGAGCGUCAUUUCAACCCCUAAGCACAGCUUAUUGUUGGGACUCUACGGCUUCGUAGUUCCCCAAAGACAUUGGCGGAGUGGCAGCAGUCCUCUGAGCGUAGUAAUUCUUUAUCUCGCUUUUGUUAGGCGCUGCCCCCCCGGCCGUAAAACCCCCAAUUUUUUCUGGUUGACCUCGGAUCAGGUAGGAAUACCCGCUGAACUUAAGCAUAUCAAUAAGCGGAGGA